rnacentral:rRNA from 1 species
UGGAGGGGGAUAACUACUGGAAACGGUAGCUAAUACCGCAUAACGUCGCAAGACCAAAGAGGGGGACCUUCGGGCCUCUUGCCAUCGGAUGUGCCCAGAUGGGAUUAGCUUGUUGGUGGGGUAACGGCUCACCAAGGCGACGAUCCCUAGCUGGUCUGAGAGGAUGACCAGCCACACUGGAACUGAGACACGGUCCAGACUCCUACGGGAGGCAGCAGUGGGGAAUAUUGCACAAUGGGCGCAA